rnacentral:rRNA from 1 species
AAUUAAACGGCCGCGGUACCCUAACCGUGCAAAGGUAGCGUAAUCAUUUGUCUAUUAAUUGUAGACCUGUAUGAAAGGCAUAAUGAGGGUUUAACUGUCUCUUUUAGUAAAUCAAUUAAACUGAUCUCCUAGUCCAAAAGCUAGGAUACCACCAUAAGACCAGAAGACCCUGUGAAACUUUAACUAAAAUAUUAAAGCCUAUAAUAACUACUUUAGGUUGGGGCGACCUUGGAAAAUAAAAGAACUUCCACACAUAUUAUACAAUAGUAUAUAACCGGCCAACAAGCCUACAACGACCCAGCACAGCUGAUAAUUGAACCAAGCUACUCCAGGGAUAACAGCGCUAUCUUCUUCAAGAGCCCAUAUCAAAAAGAAGGUUUACGACCUCGAUGUUGGAUCAGGACAUCCUAAUGGUGCAACCGCUAUUAAGGGUUCGUUUGUUCAACGAUUAAUAGUCCUACGUG